rnacentral:rRNA from 1 species
CACGUAGUUAGCCGUGGCUUAUUCAAGGGGUACCGUCUUCUACUCUUCCCCCCUUAAAAGAAGUUUACAACCCGAAAGCCUUCUUCCUUCACGCGGCGUUGCUGGGUCAGACUUGCGUCCAUUGCCCAAUAUUCCCCCACUGCUGCCUCCCGUAGGAGUCUGGGCCGUAUCUCAGUCCCAAUGUGGCCGGCCAACCUCUCAGUCCGGCUACUGAUCGUCGCCUUGGUGGGCCGUUACCUCACCAACUAGCUAAUCAGACGCGAGGCCAUCUUCCAGCGAUAAAUCUUUGACAUCAAAGCCAUGCGACUUCAAUGCAUCAUGCGUAUUAGCAGUCGUUUCCAACUGUUGUCCCCCUCUGGAAGGCAGGUUCCCUCACGUCGUUACUCUACCACGUCCGCCAACUAAGCAUUCCCAUCCGUUGUCCGAAAACUCCUUCAGGGGUGCUCCGUUCGACUUGCAUGUGUUAAGCACGCCGCCAGCCGUUCGUCCUGAGUCCGAGGAUCAAACUCUA